rnacentral:snRNA from 1 species
CAAAGUGUAGUAUCUGUUCUUAUCAGCUUAAUAUCUGAUACGUCCCUCAUCUGAGGGCAUCGAUAUUAAACUGAUUUUUGCACNNNCGGNGAAUGGCAAGGGCUUGCUCUACCUUUGCCACGGGUUGGC